rnacentral:tRNA from 1 species
UGGGCAGUAGCUCAGUGGUAGAGCUCCCGCUUCUUAUGCGCGAAGACCUGGGUUCGGUUCCCGGCUAUUCCC